rnacentral:rRNA from 1 species
AUUGAACGCUGGCGGCAUGCCUGACACAUGCAAGUCGAACGGCAGCACGGGUGCUUGCACCUGGUGGCGAGUGGCGAACGGGUGAGUAAUACAUCGGAACGUACCUUAUCGUGGGGGAUAACGCAGCGAAAGCUGUGCUAAUACCGCAUACGCCCUGAGGGGGAAAGCGGGGGAUCGAAAGACCUCGCGCGAUUAGAGCGGCCGAUGCCUGAUUAGCGUGUUGGUGGGGUAAAAGCCCACCACGGCGACGAUCAGUAACUGGUCUAAGAGGACGAUCAGCCACACUGGGACUGAGACACGGCCCAGACGCCUACGGGAGGCAGCAGUGGGGAAUUUUGGACAAUGGGGGGAACACUGACCCAGCAAUGCCGCGUGAGUGAAGAAGGCCUUCGGGUUGUAAAGCUCUUUUGUCAGGGAAGAAACACCGGCUCUAACACAGUCCGGGAAUGACGGUACCUGAAGAAUAAGCACCGGCUAACUACGUGCCAGCCGCCGCCGUAA